GACGAACGCUGGCGGCGUGCCUAAUACAUGCAAGUCGAGCGAAGUUUUUCUGGUGCUUGCACUAGAAAAACUUAGCGGCGAACGGGUGAGUAACACGUAAAGAACCUGCCUCAUAGACUGGGACAACUAUUGGAAACGAUAGCUAAUACCGGAUAACAGUAUUUCUCACAUGAGAGAUAUUUAAAAGUUGGUUAUGCUAACACUAUGAGAUGGCUUUGCGGUGCAUUAGCUAGUUGGUGGGGUAAAGGCCCACCAAGGCGACGAUGCAUAGCCGACCUGAGAGGGUGAUCGGCCACACUGGGACUGAGACACGGCCCAGACUCCUACAGGAGGCAGCAGUAGGGAAUCUUCCGCAAUGGGCGAAAGCCUGACGGAGCAACGCCGCGUGAGUGAAGAAGGAUUUCGGUUCGUAAAGCUCUGUUGUUAGGGAAGAAAGGAUAUGUAG
rnacentral:rRNA from 1 species